rnacentral:sRNA from 1 species
AUUAACAUCUAUUAACAGUAGUUAACAUGAAUACCUAUGAACUUGGUUAAGUUUUUUUAUAUGAUGACUAUGUAGAUUAGAAAAAACUAAUCUUAUGAUAUUUCUCCUUUUCAUCGGAACUGUUUUACAGAUUCGUAGUUCUACGCAAUGAUCACCCCAAUCAUUGCGUUUUUUUUAUGCCUAUUUCUCG